rnacentral:siRNA from 1 species
GGCUGUGUGACUUCUGUUACCUA